rnacentral:rRNA from 1 species
ACUCCUACGGGAGGCAGCAGUGGGGAAUAUUGCACAAUGGGGAAACCCUGAUGCAGCCAUGCCGCGUGUGUGAAGAAGGCCUUCGGUUGUAAAGCACUUCAGUAGGGAGGAAGGUAGUGUAGUUAACACCUGCAUUAUUUGACGUUACCUACAGAAGAAGCACCGGCUAACUCCGUGCCAGCAGCCGCGGUAAUACGGAGGGGUGCGAGCGUUAAUCGGAAUUACUGGGCGUAAAGCGCAUGCAGGCGGCCUGUUAAGUCAGAUGUGAAAGCCCGGGGGCUUAACCUCGGAAUUGCAUUUGAAACUGGCAGGCUAGAGUCUUGUAGAGGGGGUAGGAAUUUCAGGUGUAGCGGUGAAAUGCGUAGAGAUCUGAAGGAAUACCAGUGGCGAAGGCGGCCCCCUGGACAAAGACUGACGCUCAGAUGCGAAAGCGUGGGGAGGCAAACAGGAUUAGAUACCCUGGUAGCACAGAG